rnacentral:misc_RNA from 1 species
GUUUUGGUUGUGAUUGCGAAUACGACUCUCUAGAAUUGUUCGAAAUUCACCGUCCAACAACGACAUGGAAAGAUGCAAAACGUUGCUCGAUCUAUUGAGAGGAACAGCCAUUAUUGGAUUGGAAUUGAAUUCGCUGAAACUUGUCAACCUGGAAAUGCGGAUUAAACAUUCAAAGAAUGACAAAUCUUCUUCUUUGCUAUGACCAAACCUGUUGGAAUCAUAGUAAGCUAUCUUUUCUUGAGCCAUUUUCAAAAACAAUUCCACAGAAUUUGGAACCGCCGGUGGAUUUGACUUAUCCUUUGUCUCUGACAACCUCUCAAGAAAUCGAUCAACAUCUUCAAGAACCUGAGAAAGGCUUAAUUCAGUAAUAGGGGAAGCCUCCACAAGAUUUUUCUCCUCCGCAUGGUCAGGUUCAUGUCCUGCAAAGCCAUUGGCAGGGUUUUGAUCCAUUUGUUUGUAUCAAACAAAGAAUGUGUAUGGCAUUGCAGAAGGAAGCAAGAGACAUGAAGAAUCAUAGCCAAAGGGAAGAAGAAGAUGAAAAAUUG